UUAAACUUGAAUUUUAGAUAAAUAAUGAAUAUUUUAAUGUAAAUAUGUCUCAUGAAAUAUUUGAGACAUACUUAUCCUAAAAAUUAUUUAUAGUUUAUCUGAAAUCCAAAUUUAACUGGGCAUCUUGCAUUUU
rnacentral:miRNA from 1 species